rnacentral:rRNA from 1 species
AAUGGGGGACACCGCUUGGCGGGUAGUUUGACUGGGGUGGUCGCCUCCAAAAGGGUAACGGAGGCUUCCCAAGGCGCGCUCAGCACGAAUGGCAACCGUGCGUUGAGUGCAUUGGCAGAAGCGCGCUUGACUGAGAGACCGACAAGUCGACCAGGUGCGAAAGCAGGGCAAAGUGAUCCGGCGGUUCCGCAUGGAAGGGCCGUCGCUCAAAGGAUAAAAGGUACUCCGGGGAUAACAGGCUGAUCGCCCCCAAGAGCUCAGAUCGACGGGGCGGUUUGGCACCUCGAUGUCGGCUCGUCACGUCCUGGGGCUGGAGCAGGUCCCAAGGGUUCGGCUGUUCGCCGAUUAAAGUGGCACGCGAGCUGGGUUCAGAACGUCGUGAGACAGUUCGGUCCCUAUCUGUUGCGGGCGUGGGAGAUUUGAGGAGCGCCGUCCUUAGUACGAGAGGACCGGGACGGACGGACCUCUGGCGUGCCGGUUGUGGCGCCAGCUGCACCGCCGGGUAGCCAAGUCCGGAAGUGAUAAGCGCUGAAAGCAUCUAAGCGCGAAGCCCCCUCCGAGAUAAGAUCUCCGUUUAAGGGCCGUGGGAGACUACCACGUCGAUAGGCGGGAGGUGCAAAGCCGGCGACGGCAAAGCCGACCCGUACUAAUUGCCCGUAGGUUUCGUUC